rnacentral:tRNA from 1 species
GGGCCCGUAGCUCAGUGGUAGAGCAGCUGGCUUUUAACCAGUUGGUCGUAGGUUCGAUCCCUACCGGGCUCACCA